GUGCUCGCUUCGGCAGCACAUAUACUAAGAUUGGAACGACACAGAGAAGAUUAGCCUGGCCCCUGUGCAAGGAAGAACUAACUCAUUUGAUUUCUCCCGCAGUUCUUU